GCUGAACGCUAGCUACAGGCUUAACACAUGCAAGUCGAGGGACCGGCGCACGGGUGAGUACCACGUAUCCAACCUGCCCUUUACUCGGGGCUAGCCUUUCGAAAGAAAGAUUAAUACCCGAUGUAAAGGAUGGGGAUGCGUUCCAUUAGGUUGUUGGUGAGGUAACGGCUCACCAAGCCUUCGAUGGAUAGGGGUUCUGAGAGGAAGGGCCCACACAUUGGAACGGAGACACGGUCCAAACUCCUACGGGAGGAAGCAGUGAGGAAUAUUGGUCAAGGGGCGUUAGCCUGAACCAGCCAAGUAGCGUGAAGGAUGAAGGCUUAUGGGUCGUAAACUUCUUUUAUAUAAGAAUAUGUAUUAUAUGAAUAAGGAUCGGCUAACUCCGUGCCAGCAGCCGCGGUAAUUC
rnacentral:rRNA from 1 species